rnacentral:lncRNA from 1 species
AUAAAUUCAUUCCAUAAUAUUCAAAAAUGAUAAUUAUAGAAAAAUCAUCUUUAUUCAUAAAAGUUGGGGUCUUACAACUACAAACCUACACCACUUUAUGUGAUGGAUGAGAUUGAUGCUGCUCUUGGUGCGUCUUCAUGGUUUAUAUGUAUUCAUUUUUUGAUUUUUUCUUUACCCUUCUUUAUGUGGUUUCCCUAGUCAC